GGGCCUCUACUUGAAUUCUGACUAUCAGCAAUGUGGUUUUCCACUGAUCUUGGGAUAUGAUGUUUCUAUGAAUUAUUCAAAGGAGAACAUUCUCCAUUUCCUAACUAGGUUUCCCAUUCAUCGUCAUCACCAUCGUCACUGUUGUCUUGAGAGGAAUUUGGUGAGUCCUUAGAAUGAGGAUGCUGUUCAACAACAUAAUUAAUUUUAAUGUCAACCAUAUACUUAUGAGAUCCAAUAGUUACCUCUAGUGAUUCUGGUGUGUGCUCGAAUUCUUCAUAGAAAAGAAUAACAUCAAACCUUAAGAGAUCUUCCUAACAGACACUAGAGUGACAUGCUCUAUAUGGCACUCCAAAGUUGGAGAUAAUUGUAGUGCUUGCUUCUACUAUCCAGCAAAAUAGGGGAAG
rnacentral:lncRNA from 1 species